rnacentral:rRNA from 1 species
AGUGAACGCUGGCGGUAGGCCUAACACAUGCAAGUCGAACGGCAGCACAGUAAGAGCUUGCUCUUACGGGUGGCGAGUGGCGGACGGGUGAGGAAUACAUCGGAAUCUACUUUUUCGUGGGGGAUAACGUAGGGAAACUUACUCUCAUACCGCAUACGACCUACGGGUGAAAGCAGUGGAUCUUCGGACCUUGCGCGAUUGAAUGAGCCGAUGUCGGAUUAGCUAGUUGGCGGGGUAAAGGCCCACCAAGGCGACGAUCCGUAGCUGGUCUGAGAGGAUGAUCAGCCACACUGGAACUGAGACACGGUCCAGACUCCUGCGGGAGGCAGCAGUGGGGAAUAUUGGACAAUGGGCGCAAGCCUGGUCCAGCCAUACCGCGUGGGUGAAGAAGGCCUUCGGGUUGUAAAGCCCUUUUGUUGGGAAAGAAAAGCAGCAGGUUAAUACCCCGCUGUUCUGACGGUACCCAAAGAAUAAGCACCGGCUAACUUCGUG